rnacentral:lncRNA from 1 species
CAUAGAGAGGCCUGGCUGACACAGGGACCAUAUUGUCCAUUCAUGGGGCCUGCCUGGCUCUGGUCCUGCCUGGCCUGCCUGCCUGGCCUGCCACAUGGCUUCUACACACUAGGACCAGGCACAGCUGAGGACAUUGUUAUGUAAUCAUUUAACAUACACUCACACUGUGUACUCACUGCCCUGUUGUUACAGAGGGACCGUCAGUAUGUCUUGAUACAGGUUGUUACAGAGGGACCGUCAGUAUGUCUUGAUACAGGUUGUUACAGAGGGACCGUCAGUAUGUCUUGAUACAGGUUGUUACAGAGGGACCGUCAGUAUGUCUUGAUACAGGUUGUUACAGAGGGACCGUCAGUAUGUCUUGAUACAGGUUGUUUAGGUCUGUCUGUUUCAGGGGGUUGUUGUAGUACCAUCUCUAGCAGUGUGUCUGUCUGUUUCAGGGUGUUGUUGUAGUACCAUCUCUAGCAGUGUGUCUGUUUCAGGGUGUUGUUGUAGUACCAUCUCUAGCAGUGGGUCUGUCUGUUUCAGGGGGUUGUUGUAGUACCAUCUCUAGCAGUGGGUCUGUCUGUCUGUUUCAGGGGGUUGUUGUAGUACCAUCUCUAGCAGUGGGUCUGUCUGUUUCAGGGGGUUGUUGUAGUACCAUCUCUAGCAGUGGGUCUGUCUGUUUCAGGGUGUUGUUGUAGUACCAUCUCUAGCAGUGUGUCUGUCUGUCUGUUUCAGGGUGUUGUUGUAGUACCAUCUCUAGCAGUGUGUCUGUCUGUUUCAGGGUGUUGUUGUAGUACCAUCUCUAGCAUGUGUGUGUCUGUUUCAGGGUGUUGUUGUAGUACCAUCUCUAGCAGUGGGUCUGUCUGUUUCAGGGUGUUGUUGUAGUACCAUCUCUAGCAGUGGGUCUGUCUGUCUGUUUCAGGGUGUUGUUGUAGUACCAUCUCUAGCAGUGGGUCUGUCUGUUUCAGGGUGUUGUUGUAGUACCAUCUCUAGCAGUGUGUCUGUCUGUUUCAGGGGGUUGUUGUAGUACCACCCAGUUAGCCAGUCAAGUCACCUGGAGAUGCUCUCUGUCUUUGUCCCAGAGGCUGGCGUCACCUCUGAAAUGUUUUAUUGUAC